rnacentral:tRNA from 1 species
GGAGAGGUGCCCGAGUGGCUGAAGGGGCUCGCCUGGAAAGCGAGUAUGCGGGUAGACCCCGUAUCGAGGGUUCGAAUCCCUCCCUCUCCG